rnacentral:rRNA from 1 species
CCUACGGGAGGCAGCAGUAGGGAAUCUUCCACAAUGGGCGAAAGCCUGAUGGAGCAACGCCGCGUGGGUGAAGAAGGUCUUCGGAUCGUAAAACCCUGUUGUUAGAGAAGAAAGUGCGUGAGAGUAACUGUUCACGUUUCGACGGUAUCUAACCAGAAAGCCACGGCUAACUACGUGCCAGCAGCCGCGGUAAUCCGUAGGUGGCAAGCGUUAUCCGGAUUUAUGGGGCGUAAAGGGAACGCAGGCGGUCUUUUAAGUCUGAUGUGAAAGCCGUCGGCUUAACCGGAGUAGGGCAUUGGAAACUGGGAGACUUGAGUGCAGAAGAGGAGAGUGGAACUCCAUGUGUAGCGGUGAAAUGCGUAGAUAUAUGGAAGAACACCAGUGGCGAAAGCGGCUCUCUGGUCUGUAACUGACGCUGAGGUUCGAAAGCGUGGGUAGCAAACAGGAUUAGAUACCCUUGUAGUC